rnacentral:lncRNA from 1 species
UCCAUUUGAUGCUGCAAAUAACUGAUUUAACACAAACUGGUCAUUGCUAAAAUGUUUAACGCACAAUCUUGAUGUGUCGGAUGGCUGAACGUUCUUCCGUUUCACUUUGAUUGUCCACUGUUUACCUAGUCUGUCAUCUUUAAGAAAAUCAAAUAAUCCUAUUCCUAGACCUGACCCAGUUUUAAUUUAAGUAAGCCCGCGGGUAUAAAUCGAUUUUUCUUUGUAAU